UACGUAGGGUGCGAGCGUUGUCCGGAAUCAUUGGGCGUAAAGAGCGUGUAGGCGGCCCCUUAAGUCCUGCGUGAAAUCCUGCGGCUCAACCGCAGACGGUCGUGGGAAACUGGAGGGCUAGAGUGCGGGAGAGGAGAGUGGAAUUCCCGGUGUAGCGGUGAAAUGCGCAGAUAUCGGGAGGAACACCAGCGGCGAAGGCGGCUUUCUGGACCAAUACUGACGCUGAGACGCGAAAGCGUGGGGAGCAAACAGG
rnacentral:rRNA from 1 species